UCUCCCUCCCUCUCUUCUUCUCUCCCAACCCCCCACUCUUCUUCCCCCUUCUCCUCUCUCUCCCACCCUCCUGCUCCCCUCCCCCGGCGCUCGGCAGGGCAUGGGGUACCCGGCCGAGGGGAGGACCCCUUCCCUCCCCAGGGAGCUGGAAGCUGUGGAGCUUGAGCCCCGGCCGCUCUGCUCUCCUGUGUCCCGGCGCUUCUGAAUCCACAUCUGCAAACUGAGCAAGUGACGCCCGCCAAGCGGGUUAAAGGCGCGCAGAUGGGUUUCGAGGAGGGUCUUUCGGCAAGUUAAGCUUUUCGCAGGAGUGGCUCCUCCAUAAGGACCCGGAGAGCUAAGAGGCAAGACUGCAACUCCUUAGAGCAAAUGUGUGCACGCAGAGUUGCUCAAGAGCCUUUGGAAUGCAUUCUGUGACUCAAAAGAAAUUCCCAGGAAUCAGCACUUCAGGACUGAUGGAUCUGUCAAGAAAUGCUCUUGAACACCACGCCCAUCUUUUACUCAUAAACUUAGGCAGAUUGGACUGGGAUUUCUAAGCUUUUGGACUUGAGGCAAGUCAUUGCAAUGUCACCUUCCUCAUCUGUAGCCAAAUGCUUGCAAAGAAUUAAAUCUCAAAGAGUCAUUAACCAAACUUUUAUUGAGUGCUGGUGAGCCAGCUCGGCCCAAGGCUAUAAGCACACAAACAUAGGAAACAAGUAAUACUCCAGCCCUCAAGGAGUUUGCAAUCUCAGGAGGAGACAAGCACAAAUAAUGACAGUGACAAUGCCGUAGGCCAUGGCCAUUCACUUUGAGCAGCUGUCACUUGGCCAAGGGCAGAGAAGAGACGGGUAACAUUAAAGGGGAGAGGCUGGGACUGCAGAACCAGAGAAGAUAGGCCUGGUCUGAAGGGGGAGCCACCAUGAAGCAUGUACCGAUGGCUGACAUGCAGGGCCAGGUUACUAUGUUUCCCGAUCUUUCCAGAGAAGCCAGAAGUCUAAAUACUUCUAUGAAAUCACCUCAUUUCUAAAUGUUGUCAGCUAAUUCAAACUCACAGAAAAACACUUGCAAGACCAUCAAAACUCAGUCUGUGGGCUGCCAGUUGGUAGCUUCUGGCCUGCAACUACCCAGGUCACCAAAAACUAUUCAAAAGUGUGACAAGAACACAAGAAGAUUGAGAGACACUCCUUUAUAGCUACUAUCACUAACGGAAGCAUAAGUGCCAGGGCAGGAAUCACCUUUGGAUGCUUGACUCCGUGUGUAUGGAGGAGAGGGGCCCAGCUGUCACUCUGCAGCAAUAAACGGCUGAUUUAAUUAUCUAUUAAUGUCCUGCAAACUGUAAGUCAUUUGAUAUUUUCUCCAAGAAAACAUUUCCAAAUUGUCAGCAGUCUCCCUGCGUCCUAAUUAUUGUGUCACUAACUGUUGGUUCCAUUUCUUUUUUCCACAAAAUGGGUCCCUCAGCAUUGGCUGAUCAUAGUUAUCAUUUUUAAUGGCUAAAUUUGAUGGAUUUGCGAAGAGUUUCACCAAAGCCACUGGCCAUUUGGGCCUCAUGCAUCAGCAUGAGACAAAUGUGAGUUGAGUAACUCCAACUCAGCCAUUUGUCAACACCUCAGAGGAGAGAAUGUCAGCAGCACAUGACGGUGAUCAAACUAGUUAUGAAUUUGAAUUCAGCUGUACUCAUUCUAAGGAUUAUAACUGCAUGAUGUUAAUCAUCUAUUACCCUUAAAUUUCAUAGUUUUUCUUUAAUAAAAACUAGAUACCAUCAUGCAUUGCUAAAUGACAGGGACACAUUCUGAGAAAUGCAUUGUUAGGCAAUUUCAUCCUUGUGCAAACAUCAUAGAGUACUCAAACAAACCUAGAUGGUAUAGCCUACCACACACCUAGGCUCUAUGGUGCUAAUCUUGUGGGACCACCGUCACAUAUGUGGUCCGUCAUUGACUGAAACAUCGUUGUUCGAUGCAUGACUGUAGUCUAAUUUUUCUACCAUAAUUCUUGGCCUGCCAACAAUGGGUAGGAAAACACCAAAGGAACCAGAUAUUUAGUCUACAAUAAUAAUAAUUACACAAACAGCAAUAGCUAACAGUUAACAAGUACUUAGUAUUUGCUGGGUCCUGCUCUGAGUGCUUUGUGUGUAUUGACUCAUUUAAUCCAACAAGAACUCUGUGACAUAGUUAUUGUUAUUGUCUCCAUUUUACAGAUGAGAAACCGAGGCACAGAGAGUUUUAUUAAGGUUACAGAGCCAGGCAGUCUGCCUUGAAUCCAUGCUCUUAAAACCAAUCACCCCACCAAAAGCAGCAGCAUCUUUAUUAUCAUCAAAAAAUACUCGUGAUGAGCAUGUGAACUGCUUCACAUGCAUUCUCUCAUUUAAUUCUCACACAGACCACAUAGGAAGUACGAUUAUUCCCCAUUCUAUGGAAAAGAACGCUGAGGCAUAUACAGUCUUGUCCCCAAAGUCACAUAACUACUAAGUGCCACAGCAGGGACAAUGGAUCAGUUAGCUCUUUCCCACUGUGCAAGUUGCCUGUAAGGAAGGAUUCUGAUUCUGGCGGAGCAGCAGGCCCUAAGUCAAGUCAGCAGCAUAUCAGCUGGGAAAUUAGAAACGCCCCGGGACGCCCUCUGGAGAAAUGGCGGAUUCCAGGGUUGGGGCAGUGGGGCUGAAAAUACAAGGUGAGCUUGGGCCAUUUUAUACUGACAGGAAGUAAAGUGGUGCUCAAGACGAACAAAAGACAAAAAGGAUGAGGACAUGUCAGAAGGGCACAGGAGCAAACCUGAAAGAGCUCCCAAUGUCCCAAACUGCAACAAUUUGAGAAACAAACUUAAUAACAGUAGUAUUAGAUUAUCACUCAAAGAAAAUAUAGAGAUCUGUGAGUCCAUGUUGAUAUAAAUAAAUGAUCGGCUACAUAAAUAAUAAGUAGAAGAGACAAACUGUCCUUACAGAGAGACUCCAAAUUAUAAAUGGAGAAGGAAUGAGGGACGUUGAGGAUGGCCGUUGGAGCCCCAUGGUGACAAUUGCUGCAGGCAGGGUCCCUGAGCACUGGGGAAAUUAGUGGUGAGAAUUUACGGAGAAGCAGGAUCUUAGUAAACCCUCAAAGUGUCUACCCAAAAAUAUUAAUUAGUCACUGUGGUGGUUUUAACAUGUUCACAAGUUCUUUGAUAGUCCUUCCUCCAGAGAAGGAGCUUAAUUCCUUUUCCUUUGAGUGUGGGCUGGAUUUAGUGAUUUACUGGUAACAAACAGAAUAUGGAGAAAGGAAAUUAGUAACUUUCAAAGGUGGCAAAACAUGGCAGAUACCACCGUGACCAAGUGAUCAAGGUCAACAGCAUCUGUUAUGUGUCAUGAACCCCCUGAUACAAUGUCAUGAGAAAGGCACUUCCCCUCUGGGGGCUUCUUCCCAAAAACUCAACCCUCAUCUAGUCAUGAGAAAACCUCAGACCCAAACACAGAUGGAGGAACAUUCUACAAAAUACCUGACCAGUACUCUUCAAAAGUCAAGGUCAUGAAAAAUAAGGGGAGCCUGAGAAGCUGUCACAGAUUGGAGUAGACUAAGGAGACUUGAGAAAUAAAUAACAACAACAUGGUAUCCUGGACUGGAUUCUAGAAUAGAAAAAGGGUAUUAGUGGAAAACCUGGUGAAAUCGGAUUGCCCCUUUCUCAGUUCUGGUAAUUGUAACAUAGUAUGUAAGAUAUUAACAUUAGGGGAAGCUAGAUGAAGGGUAUCAAGAGGGGAGCGCCCAGAAAUGGGAAGACUGUGUAGGAGGCUAUUGAUAAUAUCUUGCACCUGCAGACUGCUCUGUAACCAUCUAGUGCUUCUGUGUGUUCUCUGGUCUGACUGGACCCACUCCCCUGCACUUGUAUGAUUUUUCUCUAUUGCUUUUGAAAGCCUGGAAGAGGAUUCGAGAAAACAGGUAGCCUGAUUAGGGAAUAGCAGUGGGCAUGGAAACAGCUCCAGUUGAUGGAAAACUAAGGAAAUCAGAAUACCACGUGGACUUUAGUUAAUAAUAUAUUAUUAUUGGUUCGUUAAUUGUAAGAAAGGUACUGUGCUAAUGUAGGAUAUUAAUAAUAAGGGGAAGUUGGUGUGGGGUAUAUGGGAACUCCCUGUGCUGUUUUCUCAAUUUUUCUGCAAAAUUAAAAUUAUUCUGAAAAAUAAAAUCUAAUUACCAUUAAAAAUGAGAAAUUGCCCCACCUGUGCUCCUGAGGUCGCCAGGGCUGAGAGACUCGCUGAAGGUGCAGCAGAGCUCUGCUGGUUUGGCUCCAAGGGACUUGCGAGGGUGCCCAGAGAGAGAGGAUGGGACAAGUGGCAGAAGCAGCACAGAGAUGCUGGAAGGACGUGGAGGAGAGGGCACGGUUAGUCAUAAGAAAACAGGAAAGCGCGGGGCGGUGGGAGAGCAAAUGCAGACCCUGUGCUCAGGCAGGUGGUUCUGCUUGGCUGUGGCCCCAUCGUUCGUCCUCUCACCUGCUCCUCCUCCUCCUCUUGCCUCUCAAGAGACUGCGUGAUGGUGCUAGAGACUCUGCCCCUCCGGAUUCCCUCUCCACUCUUUUCUACCCAGCUCUCUGCCCCAGGGACACCCUGCUUGUGGCUUCCCUGGGGCCUGGCUGGUGGGAGGCACAGGCAGGCGUUCUGAGAAGGGAGGAGCAUGGGGUCCUUAGGCCCCUUCCUCAUCUGUGUGCCUCGCCUGGCCACGUCCCUCUUCAGCAGCCAUAGCCCCCGCCCUAUAGCCCUCACUGGGUUCCCCUGAUUGCCCCUGCUCUUGCCCCUUCAGGCCUAGGCACGAGCAGUGGUCCUCAUGGAGGGCAGUCCUCGGGUACCGCACCAUUCCUUGUUGGUUUCCCUGAAGUCGGCCUACAUCUUGGUAAAUCCUCCCAUUAUUAAACUCGUCUCAGUUACUCAAUUGAGUGUGUCAUCUGUUUCCUGCUGGGACCACAACUAAUAGAAAAAAAUACUCAUUAUGUUUAUUGUCUGUUGUUUAUCUUCCUCUUUAGAACGUAAACUCUGUGGGGGCAGAGACUUUGUGUACUUCCUUUGUAUACUGCUGUAGCACUCAAUAAAUGUUGAAUAAA